CCCAUGCUUCCAAGAAAAGCUUCUAAGCUUCAGGUAACCAGGAACCGUACCCCAAACCGACACAGGUGGUCGGGUAGAGAAUACCAAGGCGCUUGAGAGAACUCGGGUGAAGGAACUAGGCAAAAUGGCACCGUAACUUCGGGAGAAGGUGCGCCGGCUAGGGUGAAGGAUUUACUCCGUAAGCUCUGGCUGGUCGAAGAUACCAGGCCGCUGCGACUGUUUAUUAAAAACACAGCACUCUGCAAACACGAAAGUGGACGUAUAGGGUGUGACGCCUCCCCGGUGCCGGAAGGUUAAUUGAUGGGGUUAGCGCAAGCGAAGCUCUUGAUCGAAGCCCCGGUAAACGGCGGCCGUAACGAUAACGGUCCUAAGGUAGCGAAAUUCCUUGUCGGGUAAGUUCCGACCUGCACGAAUGGCGUAACGAUGGCGGCGCUGUCUCCACCCGAGACUCAGUGAAAUUGAAAUCGCUGUGAAGAUGCAGUGUAUCCGCGGCUAGACGGAAAGACCCCGUGAACCUUUACUGUAGCUUUGCACUGGACUUUGAGCCUGCUUGUGUAGGAUAGGUGGGAGGCUUUGAAGCGUGGACGCCAGUUCGCGUGGAGCCAUCCUUGAAAUACCACCCUGGCAUGCUUGAGGUUCUAACUCUGGUCCGUAAUCCGGAUCGAGGACAGUGUAUGGUGGGCAGUUUGACUGGGGCGGUCUCCUCCUAAAGAGUAGCGGAGGAGUACGAAGGUGCGCUCAGACCGGUCGAAAAUCGGUCGCAGAGUAUAAAGGCAAAAGCGCGCUUGACUGCGAGACAGACACGUCGAGCAGGUACGAAAGUAGGUCUUAGUGAUCCGGUGGUUCUGUAUGGAAGGGCCAUCGCUCAACGGAUAAAAGGUACUCCGGGGAUAACAGGCUGAUACCGCCCAAGAGUUCAUAUCGACGGCGGUGUUUGGCACCUCGAUGUCGGCUCAUCACAUCCUGGGGCUGAAGCCGGUCCCAAGGGUAUGGCUGUUCGCCAUUUAAAGUGGUACGCGAGCUGGGUUUAGAACGUCGUGAGACAGUUCGGUCCCUAUCUGCCGUGGACGUUUGAGAUUUGAGAGGGGCUGCUCCUAGUACGAGAGGACCGGAGUGGACGAACCUCUGGUGUUCCGGUUGUCACGCCAGUGGCAUUGCCGGGUAGCUAUGUUCGGAAAAGAUAACCGCUGAAAGCAUCUAAGCGGGAAACUUGCCUCAAGAUGAGAUCUCACUGGGAACUUGAUUCCCCUGAAGGGCCGUCGAAGACUACGACGUUGAUAGGCUGGGUGUGUAAGCGUUGUGAGGCGUUGAGCUAACCAGUACUAAUUGCCCGUGAGGCUUGACC
rnacentral:rRNA from 1 species